AUUACUUCUUUAACUUUUAUGUGCUUUGGCAGGUUUGCAUUUAAAUUUCGAUAAUUUUGUUUUCAUGCUUAAAAAAAAUGGCUGAAAAAUCAUAAAUUAUAAGUUACUCGAUAAUAUAGAAAUAGCAAUGAGUAAAAUUUAUGUGAUACAAAAAAAUCAUCCAAUAUAAAAUUGGAAAAAAAAAAUUAUUAUAAUUUACUAAAAUUUGCAAUUAUAUUACAUGAACAACUAAACAAGGCUUUAGUACUCAAUUUUCUUCCUC